UACGUAGGGUGCGAGCGUUGUCCGGAAUUACUGGGCGUAAAGAGCUCGUAGGUGGUUUGUCGCGUUGUUCGUGAAAUCUCACGGCUUAACUGUGAGCGUGCGGGCGAUACGGGCAGACUAGAGUACUGCAGGGGAGACUGGAAUUCCUGGUGUAGCGGUGGAAUGCGCAGAUAUCAGGAGGAACACCCGUGGCGAAGGCGGCUCUCUGGGACGGUACUGACGCUGAGACGCGAAAGCGUGGGGAGCGAACAGG
rnacentral:rRNA from 1 species